rnacentral:rRNA from 1 species
CAGUAGCCGCGGUAAUACGGAGGGUGCAAGCGUUAAUCGGAAUUACUGGGCGUAAAGCGCACGCAGGCGGUCUGACAAGUCAGAUGUGAAAUCCCCGGGCUUAACCUGGGAACUGCAUUUGAAACUGUCAGGCUGGAGUCUUGUAGAGGGUGGUGGAAUUCCAGGUGUAGCGGUGAAAUGCGUAGAGAUCUGGAGGAAUACCGGUGGCGAAGGCGGCCACCUGGACAAAGACUGACGCUCAGGUGCGAAAGCGUGGGGAGCAAACAGGAUUAGAUACCCCGGUAGUCCCUGUCUCUUAUAC